GACGAACCGUACGAACGUUAUUCGGAAUUACUGGGCUUAAAGGGUGCGUAGGCGGCGCGGCAAGUAGGGUGUGAAAUCCCUCGGCUCAACCGAGGAACUGCGCCCUAAACUACCGUGCUCGAGGGAGGUAGAGGUGAGCGGAACUGAGGGUGGAGCGGUGAAAUGCGUUGAUAUCCUCAGGAACACCGGUGGCGAAAGCGGCUCACUGGACCUCUUCUGACGCUGAGGCACGAAAGCUAGGGUAGCGAACGGG
rnacentral:rRNA from 1 species